CGGAAAUCCAGGCAGCAGAGUAAUGCACCGAGAUGGGGGUGGCUGCCGGUGGCAACAAUAAAUAGAAGAACAUGAAGGAAAUCCCAACUUGUCAAACUGUUUCUUGGCUGGAAGUUGCAAUGUUAAAGCUUGUGUCUGGAGCCUCCUGACCUCAUGAUGCAGAUCAGGUCCAAAACCGACCAGGUGACUCAGCAGGGUGAGAAGUGGACCUCAGGCAACAGAUGGAUCUCCGGACACAGACAGGCUGUGUGACUGAAACAUUGUUUCCUGGAUUACCCACUACUUAUAGAAUGGUUGGCAAGAGGAACAUAAAAUCUGGAUGAACCAUGGCUAUGGAGCAUCUUGGGUGGAGAUCAGGUAAGCUCUUUUGAUGGUACAUUGUCUCUCGAAGCACGCAUCUCACGGGCUGCCGCUCAGAAGGACAGCACUACUUAAGGUGUGUUCUCACCUUAUAUAGUCUCUCUCUCAGCCAUACCAUGUGACCUAGAUCCAGUGGUCUUCCCGCUGUUUUACACCAAAUGACAUAAAACACCUUAUAAAAGAGAACGUGAACU